GAUGAACGCUGGCGGCGUGCCUAAUACAUGCAAGUCGAGCGAACGGACGAGAAGCUUGCUUCUCUGAUGUUAGCGGCGGACGGGUGAGUAACACGUGGAUAACCUACCUAUAAGACUGGGAUAACUUCGGGAAACCGGAGCUAAUACCGGAUAAUAUUUUGAACCGCAUGGUUCAAAAGUGAAAGACGGUCUUGCUGUCACUUAUAGAUGGAUCCGCGCUGCAUUAGCUAGUUGGUAAGGUAACGGCUUACCAAGGCAACGAUGCAUAGCCGACCUGAGAGGGUGACGGGCCACACUGGAGCGGAGACGCGGCCCGGCCCCCGCGGGGGGGCACAAGAGGGAAUUCUCCAGCAAGGGCGAAAGCCCGGCGGGGCAACCCCGGGGGGGUUAAGAAGGUUUUUGGAAUCUAAAACCUUUGUUAUGGGGAAAAACAAUUUGUGUAAGUACUUGUACACUCCUGGCCGUACCAUAACAAAAAGCCCCCGCCAACCUCCGGC
rnacentral:rRNA from 1 species